rnacentral:rRNA from 1 species
GACGAACGCUGGCGGCGUGCCUAAUACAUGCAAGUUGAGCGCUGAAGGUUGGUCCUUGUACCAACUGGAUGAGCAGCGAACGGGUGAGUAACGCGUGGGGAAUCUGCCUUUGAGCGGGGGACAACAUUUGGAAACGAAUGCUAAUACCGCAUAAAAACUUUAAACACAAGUUUUAAGUUUGAAAGAUGCAAUUGCAUCACUCAAAGAUGAUCCCGCGUUGUAUUAGCUAGUUGGUGAGGUAAAGGCUCACCAAGGCGAUGAUACAUAGCCGACCUGAGAGGGUGAUAGGCCACAUUGGGACUGAGACACGGCCCAAACUCCUACGGGAGGAAGCAGUAGGGAAUCGUCGGCAAUGGACGAAAGUCUGACCGAGCAACGCCGCGUGAGUGAAGAAGGUUUUCGGAUCGGAAAACUCUGUUGGUAGAGAAGAACGUUGGUGAGAGUGGAAAGCUCAUCAAGUGACGGUAACUACCCAGAAAGGGACGGCUAACUACGUG